AGUGAACGCUGGCGGUAGGCCUAACACAUGCAAGUCGAACGGCAGCACAGUAAGAGCUUGCUCUUACGGGUGGCGAGUGGCGGACGGGUGAGGAAUACAUCGGAAUCUACUUUUUCGUGGGGGAUAACGUAGGGAAACUUACGCUAAUACCGCAUACGACCUACGGGUGAAAGCAGGGGAUCUUCGGACCUUGCGCGAUUGAAUGAGCCGAUGUCGGAUUAGCUAGUUAGCGGGGUAAAGGCCCACCAAGGCGACGAUCCGUAGCUGGUCUGAGAGGAUGAUCAGCCACACUGGAACUGAGACACGGUCCAGACUCCUACGUGAGGCAGCAGUGGGGAAUAUUGGACAAUGGGCGCAAGCCUGAUCCAGCCAUACCGCGUGGGUGAAGAAGGCCUUCGGGUUGUAAAGCCCUUUUGUUGGGAAAGAAAAGCAGCAGGUUAAGACCCCGCUGUUCUGACGGUACCCAAAGAAUAAGCACCGGCUAACUUCGU
rnacentral:rRNA from 1 species